CAGCCGCCGCGGGAAAACGUAGGGUGCAAGCGUUAAUCGGAAUUACUGGGCGUAAAGCGUGCGCAGGCGGUUAUAUAAGACAGAUGUGAAAUCCCCGGGCUCAACCUGGGAACUGCAUUUGUGACUGUAUAGCUAGAGUACGGCAGAGGGGGAUGGAAUUCCGCGUGUAGCAGUGAAAUGCGUAGAUAUGCGGAGGAACACCGAUGGCGAAGGAAAUCCCCUGGGCCUGUACUGACGCUCAUGCACGAAAGCGUGGGGAGCAAACAGGAUUAGAGACCCGUGUAGUCCCUGUCUCUUAUAC
rnacentral:rRNA from 1 species